rnacentral:rRNA from 1 species
UACGUAGGGGGCGAGCGUUGUCCGAAGUUACUGGGCGUAAAGCGCGCGUAGGCGGUCUUCCAAGUCUGGGGUGAAAGGUUCAACGCUCAACGUGAACAGUGCCUUGGAUACUGGGAGACUUGAGUCUGGGAGGGGGAAGGGGAAUUCCUGGUGUAGCGGUGAAAUGCGUAGAUAUCAGGAGGAACACCGGUGGCGAAGGCGCCUUCCUGGCCUAAGACUGACGCUGAGGUGCGAAAGCGUGGGGAGCAAACGGGAUUAGAUACCCCGGUAGUCCACGCCGUAAACGAUGAGUGCUAGGUGUCGGGGGUAUCGACCCCCCCGGUGCCGUCGCUAACGCAUUAAGCACUCCGCCUGGGGAGUACGGCCGCAAGGUUG